rnacentral:rRNA from 1 species
GAUCCUGGCUCAGGAUGAACGCUAGCGACAGGCUUAACACAUGCAAGUCGAGGGGCAGCAUGAUAAGUAGCAAUACUUAUUGAUGGCGACCGGCGCACGGGUGAGUAACGCGUAUGCAACUUACCUAUCAGAGGGGGAUAGCCCGGCGAAAGUCGGAUUAAUACUCCAUAAAACAGGGGUUCCGCAUGGGACUAUUUGUUAAAGAUUCAUCGCUGAUAGAUAGGCAUGCGUU